GACGUAGGGUGCAAGCGUUAUUCGGAGUGAUUGGGCGUAAAGGGUGCGCAGGCGGUGCAUUAAGUCAAUCGUUAAAUUCCCCGGCUUAACUGGGGGCUCGCGGUAGAAACUGAUGCGCUUGAGGGUGAGAGAGAGAAGUGGAAUUCUCGGAGUAGCGGUAAAAUGCGUAGAUCUCGAGAGGAACACCGAUGGCGAAGGCAGCUUCUUGGCUCACAUCUGACGCUCAUGCACGAAAGCGUGGGGAGCAAACAGG
rnacentral:rRNA from 1 species